rnacentral:tRNA from 1 species
GCCAGCGUUGCUCAGUGGUUAGAGCACCGGCCUGCACACCGUAGGGUCACAGGUUCGAUUCCUGGUCAAGGGCA